CCCAGGGAACAAAAGUGGCAGCGGGUACCCCGUGCCCGGCCCCCCUGUGGUCAGGGCCGGCCCCUCUGGGCAGGAAGCCACGAGGCAGAGCUGGCGGCUGCACAGACCCAAGCUGGCUGAAGCCAGCACGGAAUUGGUGGAUCGCAGGGACCCCACCGCUAGCCCCUUAAGCUAAACGUGCAGAGCGGGGCCACAUCUGGACCCCGUGCACACGGAUCUGAGCUGCUGCUUUGGGAAAGAAGACACGUGGACUCGGAGCCCAACCUGACACGGUCACCUGGUCUCCUGCCUGGGGGCGCUCACAGACCUGGCUCUCCCUCCCGCUCCACCUCCGACCAAUUCUGGGCUCUGCCUCCCUGAAGCUGGGCCCAGGGGCCCAGACGUGCACUCCGUGUUCUCAGGCUGGAGGGCCCGAGGUGGGGCCCCCGGCAGCCCCGCGGCCGCGCCUGCUGACUCUCCCUCCUCGCCCAGCGCUUCCGCUGCGGUGUGUGUCCGAACACGCCCGAUGUCCACACAGCUGCCAGGCAGCAACAGUGGGAAGACGGAACGUAGACAUGUAAAAGGACAUGCUCCAAGCCACGCCACGUCCACCCUGCAUGCGGGCACUGCGGUGCCACCAUGGCUGCCCCUGCGCCCCCGAGGCCACUUGGCACAGAACACGUGGUGCACCGAGGCCAGGGGCCCGCCAGUGGGACCCUCGAGGCUCACCGGGGGAGCGUGGCAGGGAAGCAGCUUGAGGGGACAGCAAGGCCCUGGCUGCUGCCCGGGGAGAAAGCCCCGCAGUGGGUCCCAGGGAGGGAGCGAUGAGGGGUUUAGCCAGAGUCCUGGGAGCCUCUGAAACAGAAUCCGAUGAAGAGAAGGAUCCUUUUCCGGGCAGGAAACCUGCUGCAUGUCCAGCCACAUCAACUUCUCGGGCCGCUGCACGCCCUGUCUCCAGGUGGCCCCUUUAGGAUGAACCGAGACCCUGACCUGGGCAGGCCACUCCCCCCCUGCAGACUGUUCUGGCACCAGGUGACGCUCGAACCGUGGCUGUGGUCCCUUCGGCCUCCUCACCAGAGCUCUCUUCCAGCCUGCCUUCCAGGGCACACCAGGGAGGCAGCUGGCCUUGCUCUCCUGCAUGCAGGACUCGUCUGGAACACCAACCCCGUUUUAUUCUUUUGUUGUCUUACUACAACCUUCUAAUGGGCAGAUCACGUGUGAGGCCUGGCGCAUCGCAGACACUCAGUGCGUUGUGAGGAUGAGGGAACGUGAUGAACGAGUCUGUGCACAGGCUUCCUGCAGCCGGGGUGAAGGUGGG